rnacentral:lncRNA from 1 species
CGAAUUGAAUGUCCAACACAUAGUACGCAGAAGAACACAUAAAAGAAAGCUAUUUACCAUUCUUUCUACAAGUCAAGAUAAUAUUAGUUAUGAGUUACACAAAGAACUCACCCAGGAUGGCAAUCAGUAAAUCUCCAUUUGAGAUGACCUGCAGAUACAUCUAGAGCCAAAACAUCACCACUGCCUGUACCUAAAACCAAUAAUGAAGUUCCAAGCUUCCUUUUUUU